rnacentral:rRNA from 1 species
GUCUACGGCCAUACCACCCUGAACGCGCCCGAUCUCGUCUGAUCUCGGAAGCUAAGCAGGGUCGGGCCUGGUUAGUACUUGGAUGGGAGAUUAUACCUCUGUUACAUUGUGUGUCAACAAGUUUGUGAAUC